UACGGAGGGUGCGAGCGUUGUCCGGAAUCACUGGGCGUAAAGUGUGCGCAGGCGGCAAAGCAAGUCGAGUGUGAAAGCCCCGGGCUUAACUUGGGAAUUGCGCUCGAAACUACUUUGCUGGAGUGUGGCAGAGGAAGGUGGAAUUCCACGUGUAGCGGUGAAAUGCGUAGAGAUGUGGAGGAACACCAAUGGCGAAGGCAGCCUUCUGGGCCAACACUGACGCUCAUGCACGAAAGCGUGGGGAGCAAACAGG
rnacentral:rRNA from 1 species